rnacentral:sRNA from 1 species
AUCGCUUCUCGGCCUUUUGGCUAAGAUCAAGUGUAGAUCUUAGUGCUCCGUUUAAAUUUUCAAAUUUCUAGCCAAAUUUUU